GAAUGCUGACAUAAGUAACGAUAAAGCGGGUGAAAAGCCCGCUCGCCGGAAGACCAAGGGUUCCUGUCCAACGUUAAUCGGGGCAGGGUGAGUCGACCCCUAAGGCGAGGCCGAAAGGCGUAGUCGAUGGGAAACAGGUUAAUAUUCCUGUACUUGGUGUUACUGCGAAGGGGGGACGGAGAAGGCUAUGUUGGCCGGGCGACGGUUGUCCCGGUUUAAGCGUGUAGGCUGGUUUUCCAGGCAAAUCCGGAAAAUCAAGGCUGAGGCGUGAUGACGAGGCACUACGGUGCUGAAGCAACAAAUGCCCUGCUUCCAGGAAAAGCCUCUAAGCAUCAGGUAACAUCAAAUCGUACCCCAAACCGACACAGGUGGUCAGGUAGAGAAUACCAAGGCGCUUGAGAGAACUCGGGUGAAGGAACUAGGCAAAAUGGUGCCGUAACUUCGGGAGAAGGCACGCUGAUAUGUAGGUGAAGUCCCUCGCGGAUGGAGCUGAAAUCAGUCGAAGAUACCAGCUGGCUGCAACUGUUUAUUAAAAACACAGCACUGUGCAAACACGAAAGUGGACGUAUACGGUGUGACGCCUGCCCGGUGCCGGAAGGUUAAUUGAUGGGGUUAGCGGUAA
rnacentral:rRNA from 1 species